rnacentral:rRNA from 2 species
CCUGUUCCCAUGCCGAACACAGAAGUUAAGCUCUUUAGCGCCGAUGGUAGUCGGACUUACGUUCCGCGAGAGUAGGACGGUGCCAGGU